UACGAAGGGGGCUAGCGUUGCUCGGAAUCACUGGGCGUAAAGGGUGCGUAGGCUGCGGAGUAAGUCGGAUGUGAAAUCUGGGGGCUCAACCCCCAACUUGCAUCUGAUACUGGUUCGCUAGAGACCUGGAGAGGAGUUUGGAAUUCUCGGUGUAGCAGUGAAAUGCGUAGAUUUCGAGAAGAACGCUCGCAGCGAAAGCGAAACUCUGGACGGCGUCUGACGCUGAGGCACGAAGGCUAGGGGAGCAAACGGG
rnacentral:rRNA from 1 species